AAUGAGAUGUCUGAUUAAAGAAUUAUUUUGAUAGAAUAAAGCAAGCACUCCACUGCUCUCAUUA
rnacentral:tRNA from 1 species